UUGGAGGGCAAGUCUGGUGCCAGCAGCCGCGGUAAUUCCAGCUCCAAUAGCGUAUAUUAAAGUUGUUGCAGUUAAAAGCUCGUAGUUGAAUUUCGGGGUCAGUAGGUUGGUCAUGCCACUGGUAUGUACUGGUCUCACUGAUUCCUCCUUCCUGAUGAACUGUAAUGCCAUUAAUUUGGUGUUGCAGGGAAUCUGGACUGUUACUUUGAAAAAUUAGAGUGUUUAAAGCAGGCUAACGCCUGAAUACAUUAGCAUGGAAUAAUGAAAUAGGACGUUCGAUCCUAUUUUGUUGGUUUCUAGGAUUGACGUAAUGAUUAAUAGGGAUAGUUGGGGGCAUUAGUAUUCAAUUGUCAGAGGUGAAAUUCUUGGAUUUAUUGAAGACUAACUACUGCGAAAGCAUUUGCCAAGGAUGUUUUCAUUAAUCAAGAACGAAAGUUAGGGGAUCGAAGACGAUCAGAUACCGUCGUAGUCUUAACCAUAAACUAUGCCGACUAGGGAUCGGAUGAUGUUAAUUUUUUAAUGUACUC
rnacentral:rRNA from 1 species